rnacentral:rRNA from 1 species
CCCUUAGAUGUUCUGGGCCGCACGCGCGCUACACUGAUGAACGCAACGAGACCACCUGUACCGAAAGGCGUGGGUAAACUUGUGAAAGUUCAUCGUGAUGGGGAUAGAUUAUUGCAAUUAUUAAUCUUCAACGAGGAAUUCCUAGUAAGCGCGAGUCAUAAGCUCGCAUCGAUUAAGUCCCUGCCCUUUGUACACACCGCCCGUCGCUACUACCGAUUGAACGUUUUAGUGAGGCAUUUGGACCGACGCAUCUCAGUUUAACCGCUGGUUUGUGUUGGAAAGACUUCCAAACUUGAGCGUUUAGAGGAAGUAAAAGUCGUAACA